rnacentral:rRNA from 1 species
GCGGAAGGAUCAUUACUGUGAUUUAUAUCUUAUACACAUGCGUGAGCGCACCAAACACCUAAAAUUGUAAUACCACCAGUCACUAAGUUUUAACAAAACAAAACUUUCAACAACGGAUCUCUUGGUUCUCGCAUCGAUGAAGAGCGCAGCGAAAUGCGAUACCUAGUGUGAAUUGCAGCCAUCGUGAAUCAUCGAGUUCUUGAACGCACAUUGCGCCCCAUGGUAUUCCAUGGGGCAUGCCUGUCUGAGCGUCGUUUCCUUCUUGCGCAAGCAGAGUUGAGAACAGGCUAUGCCUUUUUCGAAAUGGAACGUCGUGGACGAAGUGAACUAAACUUUUAGCACGCUUUGGCCGCCGAACUUUUAACUAAGCUCGACCUCAGAUCAGGUAGGAAUACCCGCUGAACUUAAGCAUAUCAAUAAGGCCGGAGGAAAAGGAUCAUUACUGUGAUUUAUAUCUAAUACACAUGCGUGAGCGCACCAAACACCUAAAAUUGUAAUACCACCAGUCACUAAAGUUUUAACAAAACAAAACUUUCAACAACGGAAUCUUUUGGGUUCUCGCAUCGAUUAAAAAGCGCAGCGAAAUGCGAAUACCUAGGUGUGGAAUUGCAGCCAUCGUGGAAUCAUCGAGUUUCUUGAAACGCACAUUGGCGCCCCAGGGGGUAUUCCAUGGGGGGCAUGGCCUGGUCUGAAGCGUUCGUUUUCCUUUCUUGGCGCAAGCCAGAAGGUUGGAGAAAACAGGGCUAAUGCCCUUUUUUUCGAAAAUGGGAAACGUUCCAUGGGAACGAAAAGUUGGAAACUAAAAACUUUUUUUAGACACGCCUUUUUGGGGCCGCCCGAAAACUUUUUUUAAACCUUAAAGCCUUCGAAACCUUCCAGGAAUUCAACGGGUUAAGGGGAAAAUUAACCCCGGCCU